UACGGAGGGUGCAAGCGUUAUCCGGAAUCACUGGGUUUAAAGGGUGCGUAGGCGGCUGCAUAAGUCAGGGGUGAAAGUUUGUAGCUUAACUAUAGAAUUGCCUUUGAUACUGUGAGGCUUGAGAUUAGGUGAGGUUGGUGGAAUGUCACAUGUAGCGGUGAAAUGCGUAGAUAUGUCAUAGAACACCGGUUGCGAAGGCAGCUCGCUAACCUAAAUUUGACGCUGAGGCUCGAAAGCGUGGGUAGCAAACAGG
rnacentral:rRNA from 1 species